GCCUGCCGCGUCACUGCUGCCGAGGGCCGCGCGGCUCCUCCUGGUUUUGUCCCUGGCUGUGGGACCCAGUGCUGCCCCGAGUCGCAGGCACAUCUGCUGCAGGGGUGUCAGCGCCGCCCGCGGCUGCCUGUGCCUGGGUGCGGGGCUGUGGCGCGCACGUCCCUGGAACUUUGCGGGGCCCCAGAGGCGCGCCCUCGCCUCGGCCUCCGCCUCUGGGGACUGACGCGACGCCUCCUUUCACCAUCUGUGGACGGUCACAUCUCCUCUGCUGUGAAGUGCCUGUUCACGUGUCUCCCAAUUUUGGAUUACAUUCUGGAUAUUAGCCUUCCGUUCUGUUGCAGAACUCCCUCAAGUCUCCCAGAGCGAGUGCCUAUGGCCAGCAUCCGGCAGGUCGCCUCUGCCUCACAGCAGCUGGGACCUGGAGACACACAGGCAUCCGGGAAGUUCUCUCGUGGACUUUUCAGGGAACUUCACAUUCUCAGGCUCUCUCCAUGGACUGUGACCCUCACCCAGGCGACAGCAGCUGGGCAGCUGGUCUAGAUGAUCCCCACAGGGACCGUGACAGCGCCGGUGGCCCAGCAGAAACUCCUGCAGCAGCGGGCUGUGAGGACAGCAGCGGCAGCCCACUGCAGGCGUCUAGUGUCCCACCAGUGCAGAGCAACAGUGCUGGGUCUUGAAAGCCAGUUAGGACUUCUCUGUUAGUGUACAGGGUUUUGCACAUCACAGGAGCCCUUUGGCGGUGCAGUGAAUCAUAAAACAGACUUUAUGAAGCUAGAACAUGGUCUUUGACAGAACCUGCGUCUGCUUGGCUCUUUAUACCUGACUGGAAAGGCAUCAUGGUCCUGAGACAGGAGAGAGACGGACUAUGGUAGAUCAUUUCAGGUCAGAGGAAGCCAGUGUGGUUUUUCCCUUCCCUCCUAAAAUGUGACUUGUUUGAACUUUGAAAGAAAAUGUUUAGUACUGACGCCCACCGAAGCACAUUCACGAUGUGUUCUCGGCUUGUGUCGAGGGGAAAUAAUCUGUGAUUGAGUUUUCAUCCCAAAGAGCAGCCAGUGUGGCUUCCCCAGAGCCUCCCCCGUGUGACUUGCUUCCAUGGAAACACAGCCUUCGGGACUGCUCCUCUUCCCAGCACAUCCGCGGUAUUUCCCAGCUUUUGGAUGAAGCUCGUGUUUGGACUCAGUGCACUGAAGCAGCUCCGGUGAACGUGUGAGGCUCCCGUCUCGGGUGGUGUGGGGCCCAGAGCACAGCUCAAGUGUUGUUCUGUUGCAGACGUCACUGCUGAGUGCAGGGCCGGCUGAGACCACCAACUCAUCAACCAGGCCCGCAGAGAUGUCGGAUAGGCGAUCUUUUGACGUCAAGAGGCUAAAAACUCCACCCUCUGAUCAUGCUAACGCCGACAUUUUGUGAACAUGGGUCCUAUGAAGAGGCAUGGAGUCUGACUACGCUUGCGCAGCUCAUCAUUACCUCACCUCUCCUCCCCUCCAAUCACCUCUCUCCACACUUCAGACCACCUUGCCCCCAUCCCAUAAAUAUCCCUGAGUCCCUAUUUUCAGGGAAGUGGAUUUGAGGCUCAUGCUCUCGCUUCCUCCCAUGGCUGCCUUGUGAGUAAACCCUCACUCUGCUGCGAUCUGGUCAUCUCGGUGUUUGGCUUUCUGGGCAGUGGGCAAAAACGAACCUGGUUUGGUGACAGUAUCACUCGAUUUAGCAACAUCU
rnacentral:lncRNA from 1 species